rnacentral:rRNA from 1 species
GACGAAGGGGGCUAGCGUUGUUCGGAAUUACUGGGCGUAAAGCGCGUGUAGGCGGUUGUUCAAGUCAGGUGUGAAAGCCUUGAGCUCAACUCAAGAAAUGCACUUGAUACUGGAUGACUAGAGGACCGGAGAGGAUAGUGGAAUUCCCAGUGUAGUGGUGAAAUACGUAGAGAUUGGGAAGAACACCAGUGGCGAAGGCGGCUAUCUGGACGGUUUCUGACGCUAAGACGCGAAAGCGUGGGGAGCAAAC